UUGUAUAAUGAAUAAGAUUUUACCAUCUCAAGAAAGUCUUUCUCGAGACUAAGAUCAAGACCAAGACCAAGAUUAAGAUAAAAAAACCAAGAUCAAAAGACCAGAAGGACCCGAGUGAGCCGUCGCCGGAAAUGGACGUUUGCGGGAGCUUUCGUCGUCGCGGUAUUAUAAACAUAGUAUAUCGCGUCUUGGUACACUGGAGUGCGCUUAUCAUCUGCGGGACACGAUUUUCUACUAGUAUACAUGGAGGUUUGCAAUAUUCCUAUUUUUUGAGAAAUUUGUGUUGAAAGUGAUGUGUGCAAAUUCGGAGGCUAUGACACACAUUUUGACAUAUUGUGACAUUUUGUGAACUCCAUAUUCCAUGAAUAUAGUGAGUUGUGCAAUGACUUUCGCUGAUUAUAUACAUUUUAGCCUCGCGAGUGUAUCGAAUUAAUCAGGGACGGAUGGUGACUUUUCGGGGCCUGAUGCUAAUACUAUUUCAGGGGCCCUUUUUCCACACAGGGACAGAAUAGAAAAUUACAAUGACGUUAAAAAAUGACGAAAAAAUUACUAUAAAAACUAACUUUUCUAUCAUAAUUUAAUUGUUUUUUCGUUAUUUUGACAUUAUUAUAAUUUUCUGUUCUAUCUAGGUAAUGAUAACAUUUAAGUUUAGCUGCGUUUAUAACUCUUCCUUGAUGAGUUUAUAAACGCAGCUGUCAUGUCCAACAGGAGAAUUCUUACCAAAGAAGACGCGGAUAACCCAUCUGAUUACGGCUAUACAGAAUAAUAUUAGGUGUACAAAUAAGUUUCCGCCGUUUGACAAAAGUUGGCGCCACCAGUUUGCCAUGCAAUUCAGCUUGCAGUUGCUGUAGUAAGAGAGAGAAACUCGAUGAGAAGACUGUUAAGAAUUUAAUGGCCCAGAAUUAUUUGAUACAAAGUGUGGUUACUGAUAUA